rnacentral:rRNA from 1 species
CCAAUAGCGUAUAUUAAAGUUGUUGCAGUUAAAAAGCUCGUAGUUGAAUUUCGGGAUCAAUUGAUUGGUCAUGCCUUGGUAUGAACUGGUCAUAUUGGUUCUCACCUUCUAAUGAACCAUAAUGUCAUUCACUUGAUGUUAUGGGGAAUUAGGACUGUUACCUUGAAAAAAUUAGAGUGUUUAAAGCAGGCUUACGCUUGAAUACAUUAGCAUGGAAUAAUGAAAUAGGACAUCGCAUUCUAUUUUGUUGGUUUCUAGGAUCGAUGUAAUGAUUAAUAGGGAUAGUUGGGGGCAUUAGUAUUCAAUUGUCAGAGGUGAAAUUCUUGGAUUUAUUGAAGACUAACUACUGCGAAAGCAUUUGCCAAGGAUGUUUUCAUUAAUCAAGAACGAAAGUUAGGGGAUCGAAGACGAUCAGAUACCGUCGUAGUCUUAACCAUAAACUAUGCCGACUAGGGAUCGGAUGAUGUUAAUUUUUAAAUGACUCAUUCGGCACCUUACG